rnacentral:misc_RNA from 1 species
ACAAACUUGGUCAUUUAGAGGAAGUAAAAGUCGUAACAAGGUUUCCGUAGGUGAACCUGCGGAAGGAUCAUUAAUGUGGAACAUGUCAGGUUGACCCCUGGCAUCUGCAAACCCCUUGUGUUCAGCUACCCGGUUGCUUCGGCGGGCUGUGGUCACCAUGCCACGAUUCCCCUCCUGGGGAUUUCUACAAGCCCGCCGAGGAAAUUUUUCAAACCCUUUGUUUUGCAGUGGAUGUCUGAGUCGAAAAAGAAAACAAUCAAAACUUUCAACGAUGGAUCUCUUGGUUCCAGGAUCGAUGAAGAACGCAGC